rnacentral:lncRNA from 1 species
UGUAGGAGUCAGUGAGAUGUUGAUAUCAGGUAGUGUAGGAGUCAGUUAGAUGUUGAUGUCAGGUAGUGUAGGAGUCAGUGAGAUGUUGAUAUCAGGUACUGAAGGAGUCAGUGGGAUGUUGAUGUUGAUAUCAGGUAGUGUUGGAGUCAGUGAGAUGUUGAUAUCAGGUAGUGUAGGAUUCAGUGGUAUGUUGAUAUCAGGUAGCGUAGGAGUCAGUGGGAUGUUGAUAUCAGGUGAUAUAGGAGUCAGUGGGAUGUUGAUAUCAGGUAGUGUUGGAGUCAGUGAGAUGUUGAUAUCAGGUAGUGUAGAAGUCAGUGAGAUGUUGAUUUCAGGUAGUGUAGGAGUCUGUGGGAUG